UCCGAGUUGACCCCGGCGGUCUCCACUGAGUCCCCAACCGAAUUGCUGGCAACAGUGGACGAGGGUUGCGCUCGUUGCGGGACUUAACCCAACAUCUCACGACACGAGCUGACGACAGCCAUGCACCACCUGUGAACCGACCCCAAAAGAGGCACAACCAUCUCUGGAAGCUCCCGAUCCAUGUCAAACCCAGGUAAGGUUCUUCGCGUUGCAUCGAAUUAAUCCGCAUGCUCCGCCGCUUGUGCGGGGCCCCGUCAAUUCCUUUGAGUUUUAGCCUUGCGGCCGUACUCCCCAGGCGGGGUACUUAAUGCGUUAGCUACGGCACAGAAUCCGUGGAAUGGACCCCACACCUAGUACCCACCGUUUACAGCGUGGACUAC
rnacentral:misc_RNA from 1 species